rnacentral:rRNA from 1 species
AUGUCGGCCUUGGUUGUCCGGUCUGGGAAAAGGAAAAGUAGGACUGAAUGCAUAAGUUAUGGACUGAUGGACGAGACAGAUAGGGUGAGAAGACAGUAUUUUGAGGACAAAAUAUGGAAGGAUGAUGCAACUUGUUUGAACAUGCUUAGGCUUGGAAGAGGACCUUUCUUCCGGUUCUGUCGACUUUUAAGGGACCGCAGGUUGCUCCAAGACACGAUUCAUAUGUCUGUUGAGCAGCAAGUUGGCACGUUCUUGCACACCGUUGGACACAACAUUAGGGAUACGCCAGCUGGUGACAACUUUCGUAUAACCGGUGAAGUUGUUAGUCGUUAUUUCAAAAAAGUCAUCCGUGCCAUUGGAGAGCUGCGCCAUGACCUUAUUAGGGAACCCUUGUUAGCGACCCCAACCAAAAUAGAAGGGAAUCACCAGUGGGAUCCAUACUUUAAGGAUUGUGUUGGAGUUAUUGAUGGUACACAUGUACGAGCCUCUGUUACAGAGGACAUGGAGCCUCGCUGUCGUGGUAGAAAGACCCAUGCCACUCAAAAUGUGAUGGCGGCUGUUGAUUUUGAUCUUCGGUUCACAUUUGUGUUGGCUGGUUGGGAGGGGUCAGCACAUGAUACUCAAGUUUUACGUGAUGCCUUAGAACGUGAAAAUGGUCUACGUGUUCCACAAGGAAAAUUCUAUCUCGUUGGUGCUGGACAUGGAGCCAAACCAGGGUUCUUGCCUCCUUUUCGUGGUGUGAGGUGCCAUUUAAAUGAGUGGGGGCACAAUCUUGUUCAAGAUGAGAAGGAAUUGUUUAACCACAGACAUUUUUCUCUUCGUACGACUGUAAAGCGUGCAUCUGGGUCACUCAAGGGGAGAUUCAAAAUCCUUGAUGAGGCCAAGCCAUUUUUCUCCUAUCCUACUCAAGUAGAUAUUGUUAUAGCUUGUUGCACUGUUCACAACUGGGUUAUAAAUGAUGGGAUAGAUAAAUUUAUCAUACCUGAGACUGAAUGUGUUGCCAAUAUUAACCAUGCUCCAAUGACAAAUGCCCAACCAAAUGGACUUGCAAACAUGGUUAGUUUUCGGCAGGGAAUCGCCAAUCAAAUGUGGGAAGACCGACAAAACUACUUGCAGCACAGUACCCAUCUUCAGUUUCCAUUGUAA